GACGAACGCUGGCGGCGUGCUUAACACAUGCAAGUCGAACGGAGUGGCGAACGGGUGAGUAAAAUGUGGGUGAUCUGCCUUGCACUUCGGGAUAAGCUUGGGAAACUGGGACCAAUACCGGAUAGUGCAUGAGGAGCGCGCGGCCUAUCAGCUUGUUGGUGGGGUAAUGGCCUACCAAGGCGUCGGCGGGUAGCCGGCCUGAGAGGGUGUACGGCCACAUUGGGACUGAGAUACGGCCCAGACUCCUACGGGAGGCAGCAGUGGGGAAUAUUGCACAAUGGGCGGAAGCCUGAUGCAGCGACGCCGCGUGGGGGAUGAAGGCCUUCGGGUUGUAAACUCCUUUCGGCAGGGACGCGGUACCUGUAUAAGAAGCACCGGCUAACUACGUGCCAGCCGCCGCGGUAAUAC
rnacentral:rRNA from 1 species